rnacentral:misc_RNA from 1 species
UUUCCGUAGGUGAACCUGCGGAAGGAUCAUUACUGAGUGAGGGCCCCUCGGGGUCCAACCUCCCACCCGUGUUUAACGAACCUUGUUGCUUCGGUGGGCCCGCCUCACGGCCGCCGGGGGGCAUCUGCCCCCGGGCCCGCGCCCGCCGAAGCCACCUGUGAACGCUGUCUGAAGUAUGCAGUCUGAGACAAUUAUUAAAUUAAUUAAAACUUUCAACAACGGAUCUCUUGGUUCCG